ACAGCUUCUGCAGAGGAUUAUGAAUUUACUCAGAUUUUCAAAGACUUUUUUGACAUUCAGUUCUCCGUAAUCCUUAAGAGAGUUUACUUUUGCCUACUAAAAUUUGGUUUGUCCUCAGCCUACUGAACAAGGUAUAAGUCAGUGUUUCAUUUUAUUUUCAACUUAUCUAGAACCGGGGCCUGCAGACCACAACGUGCCUAGUACCCCUCCUUCGAGAGGUGCCAACUGGUCUCCAGCUCUACCCUGAAGACACCUGGGAAGCAUUCAAGACAUCUUUUAUUAAAGGUACAGUAACUCACAUAUUUUGCCUCGAACUUCUUGGCUAGCAUUUCUACUUCAUGCCGCUCACGUUGUUCAUCACUAAAUGGAUCUUCCGGAUGAACCGAUUUCUUCUGAAAAAUGAAGAAGUUAAAUAUUCA